rnacentral:rRNA from 1 species
GAGUUUGAUCAUGGCUCAGAUUGAACGCUGGCGGCAGGCUUAACACAUGCAAGUCGAACGAUGAUUACUAGCUUGCUAGUAUGAUUAGCGGCGAACGGGUGAGUAAUGCUUAGGAAUCUGCCUAUUAGUGGGGGACAACAUUCCGAAAGGAAUGCUAAUACCGCAUACGUCCUACGGGAGAAAGCAGGGGAUCUUUUGACCUUGCGCUAAUAGAUGAGCCUAAGUCGGAUUAGCUAGUUGGUGGGGUAAAGGCCUACCAAGGCGACGAUCUGUAGCUGGUCUGAGAGGAUGAUCAGCCACACUGGGACUGAGACACGGCCCAGACUCCUACGGGAGGCAGCAGUGGGGAAUAUUGGACAAUGGGCGAAAGCCUGAUCCAGCCAUGCCGCGUGUGUGGAGAAGGCCUUUUGGUUGUAAAGCACUUUAAGUGGGGAGGAAAAGCUAAUAAUUAAU